CCCGUGGCUCAGUGGAAAAACCAUCUGCUUUGCAUGCAGAUGGUUCCAGGUUCAAAUGCCCGGUGUCACGG